rnacentral:misc_RNA from 1 species
GAAAUGCGAUAAUUAAUGUGAAUUGCAGAAUUCAGUGAAUCAUCGAGUCUUUGAACGCACAUUGCGCCCCCUGGUAUUCCGGGGGGCAUGCCUGUCCGAGCGUCAUUGCUGCCCUCAAGCACGGCUUGUGUGUUGGGCUUCCGUCCCUGGCAACGGGGACGGGCCCAAAAGGCAGUGGCGGCACCAUGUCUGGUCCUCGAGCGUAUGGGGCUUUCUCACCCGCUCCCGUAGGUCCAGCUGGCAGCUAGCCUCGCAACCAAUCUUUUUAACCAGGUUGACCUCGGAUCAGGUAGGGAUACCCGCUGAACUUAAGC